rnacentral:rRNA from 1 species
CGUAGGGUGCGAGCGUUAAUCGGAAUUACUGGGCGUAAAGCGUGCGCAGGCGGUUUUGUAAGACAGAUGUGAAAUCCCCGGGCUCAACCUGGGACCUGCAUUUGUGACUGCAUAGCUAGAGUACGGUAGAGGGGGAUGGAAUUCCGCGUGUAGCAGUGAAAUGCGUAGAUAUGCGGAGGAACACCGAUGGCGAAGGCAAUCCCCUGGACCUGUACUGACGCUCAUGCACGAAAGCGUGGGGAGCAAACAGGAUUAGGUACCCUGGUAGUCCACGCCCUAAACGAUGUCAACUGGUUGUUGGGUCUUCACUGACUCAGUAACGAAGCUAACGCGUGAAAUUGACCGCCUGGGGAGUACGGCCGCAAGGUUG